AGUUGCAGAGAUCUAAAUGCUACAUGCAUAAAUCAAGAAAAAAAAAAGCAGCAUUCAUAUUAAUGGAACCAUCAUCUAAUAGACACAAGCAAAAUAUAAAAACUCAAGCAAGGAAGUGUUGUUAUAAAUGUUGGAGAUCAACAGUACAUCACAUUGCUCUAGAAAUAGAGUAUCAUAAAGACUACUGAAGCCAUCUCCUAUGAGUAACAGGAAGACCAUUUAUUAUCACAAUUCAUAUUUACUAGUGAUAUAAAGUUAGAACCACACACAUACAGAUAAAAUCAUCAUCUACUACGAUCAGGCCAAAUAAUAAAAACUACAUAUCAAGAAUUGCAGCGAGUGUCGACAUUUUUUUCCCUUAAGGCAAGUAGUUUUUGAA